rnacentral:rRNA from 1 species
GGGACACGUGGUAUCCUGUCUGAAUAUGGGGGGACCAUCCUCCAAGGCUAAAUACUCCUGACUGACCGAUAGUGAACCAGUACCGUGAGGGAAAGGCGAAAAGAACCCCGGCGAGGGGAGUGAAAAAGAACCUGAAACCGUGUACGUACAAGCAGUGGGAGCACCUUCGGGUGUGACUGCGUACCUUUUGUAUAAUGGGUCAGCGACUUAUAUUCUGUAGCAAGGUUAACCGUAUAGGGGAGCCGCAGGGAAACCGAGUCUUAACUGGGCGUUAAGUUGCAGGGUAUAGACCCGAAACCCGGUGAUCUAGCCAUGGGCAGGUUGAAGGUUGGGUAACACUAACUGGAGGACCGAACCGACUAAUGUUGAAAAAUUAGCGGAUGACUUGUGGCUGGGGGUGAAAGGCCAAUCAAACCGGGAGAUAGCUGGUUCUCCCCGAA